rnacentral:rRNA from 1 species
ACGCUGACAGAAUGCUUAACACAUGCAAGUCAACUUGAAUUUGGGUUUUUAACUUAGAUUUGGGUGGCGGACGGGUGAGUAACGCGUAAAGAACUUGCCUCACAGCUAGGGACAACAUUUAGAAAUGAAUGCUAAUACCUAAUAUUAUGAUAAUAGGGCAUCCUAUAAUUAUGAAAGCUAUAAGCGCUGUGAGAGAGCUUUGCGUCCCAUUAGCUAGUUGGAGAGGUAGCGGCUCACCAAGGCGAUGAUGGGUAGCCGGCCUGAGAGGGUGAUCGGCCACAAGGGGACUGAGACACGGCCCUUACUCCUACGGGAGGCAGCAGUGGGGAAUAUUGGACAAUGGACCGAGAGUCUGAUCCAGCAAUUCUGUGUGCACGAUGAAGUUUUUCGGAAUGUAAAGUGCUUUCAGUUGGGAAGAAAGAAAUGACGGUACCAACAGAAGAAGUGACGGCUAAAUACGUGCCAGCAGCCGCGGUAAUACGUAUGUCACGAGCGUUAUCCGGAUUUAUUGGGCGUAAAGCGCGUCUAGGUGGUUAUAUAAGUCUGAUGUGAAAAUGCAGGGCUCAACUCUGUAUUGCGUUGGAAACUGUAUAACUAGAGUACUGGAGAGGUAAGCGGAACUACAAGUGUAGAGGUGAAAUUCGUAGAUAUUUGUAGGAAUGCCGAUGGGGAAGCCAGCUUACUGGACAGAUACUGACGCUGAAGCGCGAAAGCGUGGGUAGCAAACAGGAUUAGAUACCCUGGUAGUCCACGCUGUAAACGAUGAUUACUAGGUGUUGGGGGUCGAACCUCAGCGCCCAAGCAAACGCGAUAAGUAAUCCGCCUGGGGAGUACGUACACAAGUAUGAAACUCAAAGGAAUUGACGGGGACCCGCACAAGCGGUGGAGCAUGUGGUUUAAUUCG